UAUCGGAAAAUGAGCUGAGUUUUCAGACUACUACCCUCCAGCGAGUCAAUUUUAGAGACACUGUCCAUAUCCAGUGUCAUCGUUUCCUGAGUCAAUAAAGAAGCCAACACUCAAGGUGGAAUAAUUGGGGUAAUUGGUGCUGGUAGGCCACUCUGUAAGGAAUUUCUCAGAAACCCUCAUGAGAUGUUCUCCAGGAGGCUGCACCAGAGGGAAUGAGGCCUUGUAUUUCUGCCAUCCUGCUGUAUCCACUGUGGUGGAGUUUAGUCCAGUACAGAGUUUAAAAAACAAGUAUGAAGGUAACCCAGAUCCGGUGGGGGCAUCGCGGAUUCUGAAGAAUCAAGAGAUCCUGGUUACAAUUUCAAACCAAACCUCCAAUGAAGAUAGAUAUUUUGAAGUGAAAAUGCUUCUAAACUCCUCCUCUUCCUCUUCUCAAUCCAGUUGCAUGAUUUGCUGAGAAAUUUCAUGAAAUGUCCAAGGGCACCAUUUAUUGUCCUUCCAAAAGAACAGUUGUUCAAGUGAGAUUCAAGCCAAGGACUUAGUAUGGUGGAGACACACCCCACAGUCCUUCAUGUUAACAAUGGAGCUGUCCAAGACUUGUCAUAAUUCCUGUAGGACACUUAAAUAAUUUCUACCCUGAUGUUUUGUUUUGAUCUUAUAUUUGCAUUGGUUCUGAACAGACAGCCACUACCUGGGUCCAAUUCUCUGCUCCACACCCCAAUGCCAGUUAACUUUCUCCAACUGUCCCCUCCGUGUCUACUAUAGACAGUAGAGAAUUAUUUCAAAAAGACAAGGUGCCUUGAUUGAGUCAAUGCCCAGUGGACUUUAGAAACUGUGAGAUUCUCCUUCAUGAAGGCCCAAAUGGAAAUACUGCAUGUACGGAAAUAUAAUGAUGAUAAUGAUGUCUGAGUGUUUAUUUUCCUGUGUGGCAAGGGAACUCAGGUGGCUUACAUUCCAGUGCACAAUUUAAGUGGGACAAUUAAAAAUAAACAAUAAAAAAUCAGCA
rnacentral:lncRNA from 1 species